rnacentral:tRNA from 1 species
AAGAAAUUAGUUAAAAUAAAUAACAUUAAUAUGUCAUAUUAAAAUUAUUAAAUUCAUAAUAUUUCUUU